rnacentral:rRNA from 1 species
GACAGAGGGUGCAAACGUUGUUCGGAAUUACUGGGCGUAAAGCGCGUGUAGGCUGCUUCGCAAGUCGGAUGUGAAAGCCCUGGGCUCAACCCAGGAAGUGCAUUCGAAACUGCAGAGCUGGAGUCCUGGAGAGGAAGGCGGAAUUCUCGGUGUAGAGGUGAAAUUCGUAGAUAUCAAGAGGAACACCGGUGGCGAAGGCGGCCUUCUGGACAGUGACUGACGCUGAGACGCGAAAGCGUGGGGAGCAAACAGG